rnacentral:rRNA from 1 species
UACGUAGGGGGCAAGCGUUGUCCGGAUUUAUUGGGCGUAAAGAGCGUGUAGGCGGUCUGGUAGGUCCGUUGUGAAAACUCGAGGCUCAACCUCGAGACGCCGAUGGAAACCAUCAGACUAGAGUCCGGAAGAGGAGAGUGGAAUUCCUGGUGUAGCGGUGAAAUGCGCAGAUAUCAGGAGGAACACCGGUGGCGAAGGCGGUUCUCUGGGCCUUACCUGACGCUGAGGAGCGAAAGCGUGGGGAGCGAGCAGG